rnacentral:rRNA from 1 species
GACGAACGCUGGCGGCGUGCUUAACACAUGCAAGUCGAACGGUGAAGCGCUUUCCUUUUUGGUUGGUGUGGAUGAGUGGCGAACGGGUGAGUAACACGUGAGUACCUGCCCCCUUCUUCUGGAUAACCGCAUGAAAGUGUGGCUAAUACGGGAUAUUCUGCGCCUGCUGCAUGGUGGGUGUGGGAAAGAUUGUGCCUUUGGGUGUUUUCGGUGGGGGAUGGGCUCGCGGCCUAUCAGCUUGUUGGUGGGGUGAUGGCCUACCAAGGCGGUGACGGGUAGCCGGCCUGAGAGGGUGGACGGUCACACUGGGACUGAGACACGGCCCAGACUCCUACGGGAGGCAGCAGUGGGGAAUAUUGCACAAUGGGCGCAAGCCUGAUGCAGCGACGCCGCGUGAGGGAGGGAGGCCUUCGGGUUGUGAACCUCUUUCGCCAGUGAAGCAGGCCUGCUCCUUGUGGGUGGGUUGACGGUAGCUGGAUAAGAAGCGCCGGCUAACUACGUG